rnacentral:lncRNA from 1 species
CGUUUUUUCGCGAUUUUUUUUUUUUUUUUACAAAAUUUACAUAAAACGACAAUUUUGAAAACAGAAGUUCCAACUAAUGAUGCCAACCUCUCAUUUAAAGGUAAAGACAGUGUUUGCCAUCAAUUUGUUUUUAAAAAUCAUACAGUUUCUUCGUUUAUUACUUAAGUAAAGUUCGGCCCCACGAGAAAUCGUUAAAAUGUAUACAUUAUCAACUGAUUUACCAUAGACAGUAUGUGUAAAGUGAUAUUCAAAAAGCGGUAACAAUCUUAAAACUAAUCCGAAAGGUUCCAAAUUUACUGUGUAUUGUUUUCAUAUCUAAAGCAUUGAUUUGAGACGAAAAUAAAAAAAAAUUUUUUUGCAAUUUUUGAGAUUUCAAAAAACACUUUUUUUCCCAAAAAUUAAAAAAAAACAAUAUUUCAACC